AAGUCGAGCGGACAGAUGGGAGCUUGCUCCCUGAUGUUAGCGGCGGACGGGUGAGUAACACGUGGGUAACCUGCCUGUAAGACUGGGAUAACUCCGGGAAACCGGGGCUAAUACCGGAUGGUUGUCUGAACCGCAUGGUUCAGACAUAAAAGGUGGCUUCGGCUACCACUUACAGAUGGACCCGCGGCGCAUUAGCUAGUUGGUGAGGUAACGGCUCACCAAGGCGACGAUGCGUAGCCGACCUGAGAGGGUGAUCGGCCACACUGGGACUGAGACACGGCCCAGACUCCUACGGGAGGCAGCAGUAGGGAAUCUUCCGCAAUGGACGAAAGUCUGACGGAGCAACGCCGCGUGAGUGAUGAAGGUUUUCGGAUCGUAAAGCUCUGUUGUUAGGGAAGAACAAGUGCCGUUCAAAUAGGGCGGCACCUUGACGGUACCUAACCAGAAAGCCACGGCUAACUACGUGCCAGCAGCCGCGGUAAUACGUAGGUGGCAAGCGUUGUCCGGAAUUAUUGGGCGUAAAGGGCUCGCAGGCGGUUUCUUAAGUCUGAUGUGAAAGCCCCCGGCUCAACCGGGGAGGGUCAUUGGAAACUGGGGAACUUGAGUGCAGAAGAGGAGAGUGGAAUUCCACGUGUAGCGGUGAAAUGCGUAGAGAUGUGGAGGAACACCAGUGGCGAAGGCGACUCUCUGGUCUGUAACUGACGCUGAGGAGCGAAAGCGUGGGGAGCGAACAGGAUUAGAUACCCUGGUAGUCCACGCCGUAAACGAUGAGUGCUAAGUGUUAGGGGGUUUCCGCCCCU
rnacentral:rRNA from 1 species